rnacentral:rRNA from 1 species
GACAGGUGCUGCAUGGCUGUCGUCAGCUCGUGUCGUGAGAUGUUGGGUUAAGUCCCGCAACGAGCGCAACCCUUGUCAUUAGUUGCUACAUUCAGUUGGGCACUCUAAUGAGACUGCCGGUGACAAGCCGGAGGAAGGUGGGGAUGACGUCAAGUCCUCAUGGCCCUUAUAGGUGGGGCUACACACGUCAUACAAUGGCUGGUACAAAGGGUUGCCAACCCGCGAGGGGGAGCCAAUCCCAUAAAGCCAGUCGUAGUCCGGAUCGUAGUCUGCAACUCGACUACGUGAAGUCGGAAUCGCUAGUAAUCGUGGAUCAGAAUGUCACGGUGAAUACGUUCCCGGGUCUU